rnacentral:rRNA from 1 species
CAUAUCAAUAAGCGGAGGAAAAGAAACCAACAGGGAUUGCCCCAGUAACGGCGAGUGAAGCGGCAACAGCUCAAAUUUGAAAUCUGGCCCCAGGCCCGAGUUGUAAUUUGCAGAGGAUGCUUUUGGCGCGGUGCCUUCCGAGUUCCCUGGAACGGGACGCCAUAGAGGGUGAGAGCCCCGUACGGUUGGACACCAAGUCUUUGUAAAGCUCCUUCGACGAGUCGAGUAGUUUGGGAAUGCUGCUCAAAAUGGGAGGUAUAUUUCUUCUAAAGCUAAAUAUUGGCCAGAGACCGAUAGCGCACAAGUAGAGUGAUCGAAAGAUGAAAAGCACUUUGAAAAGAGGGUUAAACAGCACGUGAAAUUGUUAAAAGGGAAGCGCUUAUGACCAGACUUGCGCCCGGUGAAUCACCCAGCUCUCGCGGCUGGGGCACUUUGCCGGCUCAGGCCAGCAUCAGCUCGCUGUCGGGGACAAAAGCUUCGGGAACGUAGCUCUCUUCGGGGAGUGUUAUAGCCCGUUGCACAAUACCCUUCGGCGGGCUGAGGUACGCGCUCCGCAAGGAUGCUGGCGUAAUGGUCAUCAGCGACCCGUCUUGAAACACGGACCAAGGAGUCAACCUUAUGUGC